GCCUCUGUAGUGUAAUGGAUCAGCACGGCGGUUCAGAUAUCUGUAAGUGCGGGUUCGAGUUCCGUCUGAGGUC
rnacentral:tRNA from 1 species